rnacentral:rRNA from 1 species
UGGGGAAUUUUGGACAAUGGGCGAAAGCCUGAUCCAGCAAUGCCGCGUGUGUGAAGAAGGCCUUCGGGUUGUAAAGCACUUUUGUCCGGAAAGAAAUCCUUGGCUCUAAUACAGUCGGGGGAUGACGGUACCGGAAGAAUAAGCACCGGCUAACUACGUGCCAGCAGCCGCGGUAAUACGUAGGGUGCAAGCGUUAAUCGGAAUUACUGGGCGUAAAGCGUGCGCAGGCGGUUUGCUAAGACCGAUGUGAAAUCCCCGGGCUCAACCUGGGAACUGCAUUGGUGACUGGCAGGCUAGAGUAUGGCAGAGGGGGGUAGAAUUCCACGUGUAGCAGUGAAAUGCGUAGAGAUGUGGAGGAAUACCGAUGGCGAAGGCAGCCCCCUGGGCCAAUACUGACGCUCAUGCACGAAAGCGUGGGGAGCAAACAGGAUUAGAUACCCUGGUAGUCCACGCCCUAAACGAUGUCAACUAGUUGUUGGAGAUUCAUUUCCUUAGUAACGUAGCUAACGCGUGAAGUUGACCGCCUGGGGAGUACGGUCGCAAGAUUAAAACUCAAAGGAAUUGACGGGGUCAUAGCUGUUUCCU